UUCAAUUUUUAGAAUGACAGUUAUAUCGGGACAAGCAUUUUUUAAACUCAAGCGAUAGUUAAAAUGGAACGGAGUGAAAGAUUAAUAUAAUUGCAAGUUGAAAAGACGGUCAUAUUUCAUAUCCUUCUAUAAAUAUGGAUACAUUAGCCAAUCCUCCUCAUUCAUUUCUGUCGAUCACUUUCUCUGCUCAAAUUAAAGAAUCAGUCAAACUACUCUUCCACUCCGAUCCCCCACCAAAGAAAAAUAAUGGCAGCAUCCAUGAAAUUGUUCUCCACUUUAUGCCUUCUUCUAAUGCUCAUCUUUGCUACUGAGACAAUGGUAGGAGAGGCAAGGGAAUGUGAGAAGCAUAGCCCAUACUAUUAUGGAGCAUGCUUUCAGGGCAAUGCUAACAUGAACAACAACUGUAAUACUAUGUGCAAAUGUGAUGGUUUUGAGCGCGGUUUUUGCCGUCGCACUAAUUGCUUUUGCGCUAAAAGGUGUUAGAUUUUAAUCAGCUUGUACUAUAAAUAAUGUCAAGAAUUUGAGCCAACAUGGUACAUAUGUUUGGCUUUUAAUUUGCUGUAUUUGUUCUUUUCUUUUGUUUUUAUUUCCUCUAUAUGUGUGAGAAUAACUACUUCCUUGCUGAAGGAACAGGCUUGUAAUUGGUUCCUUGAUUGGUGUUGUUUUGCUUCUUGCAACCUAUGUAAUCAGCUUCUAAUAAAUGAGUGAUAUUUACUUCA